GAUGGACACAAUGUGUUCCUGACACACUGCGGAAUAUUAUGCAGCUGUAAAAAGGAAUGAGGCACUGAUCCAUGCUACAACCUGGAUGAACCUUGAGUAUAUGAUGCUGAGUGAGAGAAACCAGAAGCAGAAUGCCACUUCUUGUACAAUGCUGUGGGAAUAAUUUGGGGAAGGGAACCAGGACUCUCCCUAGCCUCCUGGAGGAAAGGAGUAGAGACGGGGU